GCGAAUGCGUUGAGAGGAAAUAGUAGCGGAACAGUGUCCUUUAAGAGAGCCGGUGUUUGGUGAAAACUGGCGGCACUGCCUGUGAAUCCGUCCUUGAGCAAAAUGCCGAACCGCCGAUCAUUUCGGGCAAGUAAGCAUUUUCGGGAUCACCCCGUUAUCAGGCAAAGAGGAAAGCUCAGGCUUUCAAUUUGGGUGGCAACGCGGGUAAACUCUCGUCCCUUUG
rnacentral:ncRNA from 1 species